ensembl:snoRNA
CCUGUUCCCGGAAGCUUUGCAGGUGUGGCUGCUGUGUCACAUGUAAGUCAGUAGGUGGCAGAGAGGAGAGGGGCUAUGUCUACACUCAGGGUUCUGACCUGUGAACACUUGAACGAUUAGUAGCUUAACAGU